UGUUGAAACACGUUCUUAAACUAAACGUGUGUUGAUCUAUGUAGGUUUUGAUAAAUGACAAACCAACGAGCAUGGAACGUUAACGUUCAAACACAAGAGAAACAAGAACAAGAUCAAGUGAAGCAACGAAGUUAUACUUGGGUCGUUUUAUAGUGUGAUCUUGAUUCAACAACAGAUUCAACUAUUAGCUUCUCUCGUAAAAUCAUUUUCAUCAAAACAUGCAUCUUUGAAGUAAAAUA
rnacentral:lncRNA from 1 species